UUUUUGGAAGAAGUUGACAAAUUAUUGCAUGAGUUUGAUUAAAUUUAUGAUUAAGUUGAAAUUGUUUUUGACUCCCGAAACUUCACAUUAAAAUAGAAGUCGUUUUCUUUUAUACGAUUUUACCUUGAUAUGUCAAAAAGUAGUUUGAGUGACGAUGACUUUUUCAUAAUGAAAUUGUGUCAUGUAGGCACCAUUUGUCUCUAUACUAAUUGUUUUAAGAGUGGUUCUCCUUACACCUCACCAAUCUCACCCUGCAUCUCUUUAUUUUUUUAUAUUUCCAAUUAUGUCCUUAUUAGAUAACAUUUUUAAUUGCUUUUUUCAUUUGACCCACUCACCAGGCACUUCGUUCUCUCUCUUUUUGCCGCAUUUCAUACUCUCCUACACCCCCUUUCUUUCUCCUCUUUUUUUUUUUUUUGUAGAGUGUUUCUCUCACUCCUUCCCUCUUUUUUGUAGAGUGUUUCUCCCCCUCCUACCCUCCUCCCUCGUUUUAUUUGUUGCAGUUUCGCUUUUCAUUCUCAUAGACCUGUUUUUGGUGGCUGUGUGGUGGGGUAAGCUCUUGCAGCGGUGGUUGUGCGGUUGAAGACCUUGCCACACCUAGAAGUGAGGUUGAGAUGCGGUUCAUGGUAGCUGCACUUGAAAGUGCGGUUGACGCUCGUCGUACUUGGAUCUGCGAUUGAUGUUCUCCGCGCUUGAAUUUGCGGUUGAUGCUCGCCGCACUUGGAUCUGCG
rnacentral:lncRNA from 1 species